rnacentral:rRNA from 1 species
AGCGAACGCUGGCGGCAGGCCUAACACAUGCAAGUCGAACGAAGUCUUCGGACUUAGUGGCGGACGGGUGAGUAACACGUGGGAACGUGCCUUUAGGUUCGGAAUAACUCAGGGAAACUUGUGCUAAUACCGAAUGUGCCCUUCGGGGGAAAGAUUUAUCGCCUUUCGAGCGGCCCGCGGCUGAUUCGCUAGGUGGUGAGGUAAAGGCUCACCAAGGCGACGAUCAGUAGCUGGUCUGAGAGGAUGAUCAGCCACAUUGGGACUGAGACACGGCCCAAACUCCUACGGGAGGCAGCAGUGGGGAAUCUUGCGCAAUGGGCGAAAGCCUGACGCAGCCAUGCCGCGUGAAUGAUGAAGGUCUUAGGAUUGUAAAAUUCUUUCACCGGGGACGAUAAUGACGGUACCCGGAGAAGAAGCCCCGGCUAACUUCGUGCCAGCCGCCGCAGUAACAC